GGUUUGGGUAGAUUGGCUAGUUCAAGUCAGAUUUUUCCACCUUUAAUAUAAAUAAUCACACAAAUGAAGGCAUUGUUUAUCUUUUUAUCCACAAAUAAUUAAUUACUGCUCUAUCAGUAUUAUGGCACAACUUAUCUUGACAUGGAGAUAAACAUGGUUCAUCCAAACAAAAAGGCAAAAGAAUCCCAUCUUAUCCAGCUUAUUCU
rnacentral:lncRNA from 1 species